rfam:Triticum urartu cultivar G1812 contig1119694, whole genome shotgun sequence.
CAUAUACUCCCUCCGUCCGAAAAUACUUGUCAUCAAAUGAAUAAAAAGAGAUGUAUCUACAUCUAGAUAUAUCCCUUUUUAUUCAUUUUGAUGACAACUAUUUUCGGAUGGAGGGAGUAUGUG